AAAUGCGAUAAGUAAUGUGAAUUGCAGAAUUCAGUGAAUCAUCGAAUCUUUGAACGCACCUUGCGCUCCUUGGUAUUCCUUGGAGCAUGCCUGUUUGAGUAUCAUGAAAUCUUCAAAGUAAAUCUUUUGUUAACUCAAUUGGUUUCUACUUUGGUAUUGGAGGUCUUUGCAGCUUCACACCUGCUCCUCUUUGUUCAUUAGCUGGAUCUCAGUGUUAUGCUUGGUUCCACUCGGCGUGAUAAGUUAUCUAUCGCUGAGGACACUGUAAAAGGUGGCAAAGGUAAAUGCAGAUGAACCGCUUCUAAUAGUCCAUUGACUUGGACAAUACUUUUAUGAUCUGAUCUCAAAUCAGGUAGGACUACCCGCUGAACUUAAGC
rnacentral:misc_RNA from 1 species